rnacentral:rRNA from 1 species
UACGUAGGGUGCGAGCGUUAAUCGGAAUUACUGGGCGUAAAGCGUGCGCAGGCGGUUCGUUGUGUCGGUGGUGAAAGCCCCGGGCUUAACCUGGGAAUGGCCAUGGAAACUGGCGAACUGGAGUGUGGCAGAGGGGGGUGGAAUUCCGCGUGUAGCAGUGAAAUGCGUAGAGAUGCGGAGGAACACCGAUGGCGAAGGCAGCCCCCUGGGCUAGCACUGACGCUCAGGCACGAAAGCGUGGGUAGCAAACAGG